rnacentral:rRNA from 1 species
UACGUAGGGGGCUAGCGUUGUCCGGAAUCAUUGGGCGUAAAGCGCGUGUAGGCGGGGGGUCAAGUGGUGUAUGAAAGGGCGUGGCUCAACCACGCUAGGUUAUGCCAGACUGGCUCUCUUGAGGACGAAACAGGGCUGUGGAAUUCCGGGUGUAGUGGUGAAAUGCGUAGAGAUCCGGAGGAACACCGGUGGCGAAGGCGGCUUCCUGGACCGAUUACUGACGCUGAGGCGCGAAAGCUAGGGGAGCAAACGGG